rnacentral:rRNA from 1 species
ACCGGCAGCUCUAGUGGUAGCAGUUUUUAUUGGGCCUAAAGCGUCCGUAGCCGGUUUAAUAAGUCUCUGGUGAAAUCCUGCAGCUUAACUGUGGGAAUUGCUGGAGAUACUAUUAGACUUGAGAUCGGGAGAGGUUAGAGGUACUCCCAGGGUAGAGGUGAAAUUCUGUAAUCCUGGGAGGACCGCCUGUUGCGAAGGCGUCUGACUGGAACCAUUCUGACGGUGAGGGACGAAAGCUAGGGGCGCGCACCG